rnacentral:rRNA from 1 species
UACAGUGGGUGCAAGCGUUAAUCGGAAUUAUUGGGCGUAAAGGGCGUGUAGGCGGAUGAAUAAGUUGGAUGUGAACUACUCGGGCUUAACCUGGGGGCUGCAUUCAAAACUGUUUGUCUAGAGUACGGUAGAGGGAGGUAGAAUUUCAGGUGUAGCGGUGAAAUGCGUAGAUAUCUGAAGGAAUACCGGUGGCGAAGGCGACCUCCUGGACCGAUACUGACGUUGAGGCGCGAAAGCGUGGGGAGCAAACAGG